rnacentral:rRNA from 1 species
GACGGAGGGUGCUAGCGUUGUUCGGAAUCACUGGGCGUAAAGGGCGCGUAGGCGGCUUGACAAGUCACUUGUGAAAUCUCCGGGCUUAACUCGGAACGGCCAAGUGAAACUGUCAUGCUAGAGUGCAGAAGGGGCAAUCGGAAUUCUUGGUGUAGCGGUGAAAUGCGUAGAUAUCAAGAGGAACACCUGAGGUGAAGACGGGUUGCUGGGCUGACACUGACGCUGAGGCGCGAAAAGUGUGGGGAGCGAACAGG